GACGAACGCUGGCGGCGUGCUUAACACAUGCAAGUCGAGCGGUAAGGCCCUUUCGGGGGUACACGAGCGGCGAACGGGUGAGUAACACGUGGGUGACCUGCCCUUAGCUCUGGGAUAAGCCUGGGAAACUGGGUCUAAUACCGGAUAUGACUCCAUGACGCAUGUUGUGGGGUGGAAAGCCUUGUGCGGCUAGGGAUGGGCCCGCGGCUUAUCAGCUUGUUGGUGGGGUGAUGGCCUACCAAGGCGACGACGGGUAGCCGGCCUGAGAGGGCGACCGGCCACACUGGGACUGAGACACGGCCCAGACUCCUACGGGAGGCAGCAGUGGGGAAUCUUGCGCAAUGGGCGAAAGCCUGACGCAGCGACGCCGCGUGGGGAUGACGGCC
rnacentral:rRNA from 1 species